CAGGCUGGCCUUGGACAAACUCUUUCAACCUGUCUUACUGACAUAAAUGCUUGCUAAUGAAGUACGAUGAAAAGGAAUACCUGAAUGGGGGUAAUUAAUAAAGAAAAGACUACCAGAAGCAUGGCACCAGCAUCUGCUUCUGGUGAGAGCUUCAGGAAGCUUCCAAUCAAGGGAGAAGGUGAAGGAGGAGCAGACAUGUCACAAGCCACUAUAACUGUGCAGCCACCAGAGCUGCCCCAGCAUGCUGAUGUGGGAGAAUUCAGGAGCUGG